rnacentral:rRNA from 1 species
CCUACGGGCGGCAGCAGUGGGGAAUAUUGGGCAAUGGGCGCAAGCCUGACCCAGCAACGCCGCGUGAAGGAAGAAGGCUUUCGGGUUGUAAACUUCUUUGACAGGGGAAGAGCAGAAGACGGUACCCUGAAAACAAGCCACGGCUAACUACGUGCCAGCAGCCGCGGUAAUACGUAGGUGGCAAGCGUUGUCCGGAUUUACUGGGUGUAAAGGGCGUGUAGCCGGGAAGGCAAGUCGUAUGUGAAAUCUGGGGGCUCAAGCUCCAAAUUGCAUUUGAAACUGUUUUUCUUGAGUGCUGGAGAGGCAGACGGAAUUCCUGGUGUAGCGGGGAAAGGCGUAGAUAUAAGGAGGAACACCAGUGGCGAAGGCGGGCUGCUGGACAGCAACUGAGGUUGAGGCGCGAAAGCGUGGGGAGCAAACAGGAUUAGAUACCCGAGUAGUC